rnacentral:lncRNA from 1 species
GAGAGAGAAAAAAGUGAUUUUAUUUUUCUAUUUCAGCACAUUUGGUAUAUCUCAAGGAUUAUAUAUACUCGUUUAUAGACUCCAUACAAAAAAAUAAUAUUGGUUGAUAUGGAAUAAUGCUAAUAAAGAAAAAUAAUACUCGCUGAUAUAAGUAGUUAUGUGAUCCCUAAAAUUACUUUAACAAAAUCAUGUCAACAAAAAAAAAAUAAUACUGGUCGAUAUAGAAUCACGCUAAUAAAAAAAAUAUUAUGGGCCAAUACAUGUUGUUACGUAAUUUCUAAAAUUAUGCUAAUAAAUAUUGAAUAAGGUACAAACAAGCACUGGACUAAGUUGUAAUUAUGCACUAAGUAUGGUUACUAAUGCUUGUUGGCACUAAUAUUAGGCAGGACCGAUUCCAGUAAUAUAUAAUUAUAUUUUUUGUUAAAACAUAUAAAAUUAUACUAUGAAGGCCUAUUAUUUUUUUCUUUAUUUUUUUCCCGAGUGAAUGUUGCAAGCCUAUUCUUUAAAGCAUAAAUUGCUCGAGUUGGGUAUUUUGGGCUGGCCUGCGGUUUCUAACGGACGUGGCGAGCCGAGUCUUCCAAGCUAAUGUUCUAGCCAUCCAAGACCAAGUGAUUACAUCUGGACCCCACAUUAGAUGUGAUCCGUUUAUCUCGUGACCUACAGAUAAAACGGGUGUGUC